GAACGACUCUCGGCAACGGAUAUCUCGGCUCUCGCAUCGAUGAAGAACGUAGCGAAAUGCGAUACUUGGUGUGAAUUGCAGAAUCCCGUGAACCAUCGAGUCUUUGAACGCAAGUUGCGCCCGAAGCCACUAGGCCGAGGGCACGCCUGCCUGGGUGUCACAC
rnacentral:rRNA from 1 species